rnacentral:rRNA from 1 species
CACGUAGGGCGCAAGCGUUGUCCGGAAUUAUUGGGCGUAAAGAGCUCGUAGGCGGUCUGUUGCGUCCGCUGUGAAAACCCGGGGCUUAACCCUGGGCUGGCAGUGGAUACGGACAGACUAGAGGUAGGUAGGGGAGAAUGGGAAUUCCCGGUGUAGCGGUGAAAUGCGCAGAUAUCAGGAGGAACACCCGUGGCGAAAAGCGGCUCUCUGGGGACGGUACUGGCGCUGAGACGCGAAAAGCGUGGGGGAGGCAAA